GCCAAAGGCCAUGCUGUUGGAAAAGCAGCAGCACUUUCUGCAGCAGGAUAAAAUACUGUUGUCAGUAACCUAUCAGGAGAGAAGUAAGGGAGAUGUGCUGGAUUGUGAAACUCUGACACCAGCUUUGGGUGUUAUCUUGGUGUAAUUUGUGGAAACGUACAGCUAUAAUAAAACAUGCCAGGAAAGAGGUUUACAUCCAAAUGAAUACAAGAACAAAUGCAGAAGCCACGUGACAGAAGACUUGAAGAUGACUAGGAGAGGAGGGAUACUGUGCCUUCAGCCUGGACUGGCUUCCGCUGCAUUGGCAGUGAAAGAGGAGAUGAAAGAAAUGAGGCAGUUCGAGUUUGCUCCCUUUUCCCAGUUCUCCCUGUUUGUAUUGAGCGUUACAUUGCUCCCACAUGCUGUGGGAACUUCUCAGGUGGGUAGGUUAAGGAAGGUGAACUGGAACAUGUGCUUGCUCCAGAGCAGCACUGUCAGAAAUGGACAGUUUUUCAUUUUUUGAUUAAAUUCUCAGAGGGAGGAAUUGCCGUUUACUGUCAGGAAAAAAGUGAGAGUUGAUAAAUUUGGGAGGAUGGUACUACCACAAAAGUUAAAAUUCUUUAAUUCAGACUUACCAAAACCAUGGAAACAUUUGGAGUUUGGCUUUUUGGUUUUCAAGAAAAGCUAAGGUUUACAAAGAAAGGAGACUCUUUUUCAUACCUUGUCAUCACAAAAGCUUUGAAAAAAAAGUUUAUUCAUACCUGUGCAUGGUGUUGUCAUGCUCACCUGACCAAACAUCAGACUCAAAGGCUAGCGGUAAUUUUGCCCCACGUUGGACUGGCAAGGGUUAUUGUCUGUACAGUGCAUUGAGGGACAGGUUUUUUUCUUGUUUUCCUCUAUCACGUGGGGUGCCAUCCAUCUGACUGUGAAGAUGUGACCUACUGAACUCCCUGCUAUUGCAGGCAUCUCAGAUACCAGCAGUGUUCUUAGUGUCUGUCUGGCUCUCUCCUGGUGGUUCCUGGUAGUUUCUAAGAUUUUGGUUUUAAGUGGUUGAUAGGAUGCUGGAGAGCAGCUUAGCGCUGUAGAAGAAAGAGGAAUAGCUAUGGAUGAUCUAAGCCACUCCUGUCCAAUCUGCAAUUGCAAUUAUCCCUCUUCAGUGUUCCUGAAGGGUUUUUGCAGAAAACAGCAGUAAACGUUCCUGGUAAGUGGCAAAUCUAUCUGCAGAGAGGACAAAAACAAUGUCAAGAGCAACUCGAUGUUUCUUCUUUGUUCCCAGCUCCCUGCACUGAGGCUGAACUCCGCAUGGAUAGGGUAUCCGCACAGUGCCCCUGUUCCUGAGGUGGGAUUGCAGAAGAUUAUUCCCUUCAGAAUCACAUCUCCAUCCCAGUGAUGCUCAGGCAGCAUUUGGAGGUCGUGAGGGAGACCAGAUUUAAAUGGCACUUGAGUCCUGUGUAGGAUUCAUUAUCAGCCCUGUUAUGAAAAAUAACCUUCAGCUGUUGUGCACUGGACUUGGGAAGGGAAGAGUCAAGAGUCAGGAUGGUCGUGAGGAGUCUGGUGAGCCAUACCACGUGAUGGAUCUGCAGCACUUUACAGGACCUGCUCUGAGUGAACUCAGGAUCGGUGUUUUGAUAGAUGUCGUCUCUCAAGAGCGUGCUUCAAUUGCUGAGCAGGUCUGUAAAAGGGGAUUGGAAAUGCUGAAGCAGUGCCUAAAGCUCCUAAGCAGGGAUGAGCUGUGCAUUUGCUAUUGGCUAAAUCAAGGGACUUCCUGCUUGGCAUGUGGGGUCUUUGGAUUACUCUUCUGAGAUGCCAAAACGGCUUAACUCAAGAUCAAAGUCAGAGUCUUUUAAGACACAGCACUGCUGUGUCUCAACAGGAGCAGGUACUUUUCUUUAGGAAGUGUUUCACUCUUAAUCACGUAAAAGUCAUUUUCUAAAUCUGUUAUUAAUUUAGCCAGCCACAGUUAACAUGAAAAAUCUGAAAGGGGUCUUGGAAAGAGCAAAUUUGUCAAUAUUAAGUCUAUAAGGGCAGGAUAGAGUCUCCACGGGUGGAAGUCCUCCACCUCUCCAGUGCCCUGUCCCAGGGCAGCACCAACUCCCAGGAAAAAGGUUUUCUCAGGACACAGUUUUGCCUCAAAGUUUAUGGAAGUUGGAAUGGUUUGAAUCCCAUUCCCCGCCCCUCAUCACCAAUUACAUUAUUACCCAGUGUUUUAUGUUUGCAUGGAUGGGCUUCCACGUAGAAAAAGGGCUAUUUAUUAUCAAAGGCAGGGUCUUGAUAUGCUGAUGAUUCUUAAAGAGGUAAUUUAAUUUUCUCUGCCUCUUUGACUUUGUGAUCUCUCUUGCAAUACUAUUUUCAUGCAGAGAUUUGUUUCUAAUUAAAGACACUGUACCUGUUUUUGUCUAUUUCAUAUAACUUUUGCCUGGGGAAAUGCGAGCUGAAGAAAGCUUUGUCCUUUAUUAAAAGGAACACCGAAAAAGAGAAAAAAAAUCUCAUAAAAUUGCUGUCUUAAUUACCAGCACAAUAGGCAUUUGAAUAGUCAUCUUAGACAGAUUAUAAAGCAUAAUUAUUUCCUCACAGAUCAUGUUUCCUCCCAGUGUAGUAACGCAUGGCAGGCUGUUUGGCAUUUCGUUAGCUUUCAGGGUAGCGUUUUGAGAGGAAAGCUCAAAGUCUUCAUCAACUUUUUUUCCCCCCUUUUUCUUUUAAAACAGUUUGCAUGCACUGAGGGCUUCAGGAGGAGCGGCGUAACAUUUGGGUCGCGUUUCGGGGAGCACAGAUGAGGAAGAAGUCCACUGUCGUAUUUAGGAACUGGAGCUGGCAUGGGAAUGGCUGUGCAAACUCACACGCGUUUCUGUAACACAGAUCGUAGCGCAGAAAGCACGUUUUUUCUAGGAAAGAGAAAGAUGGGAGUGAGAGGACACUGCACGAAGCUAGCAGGAGCAAGGCUUAAAAUUGCCAGAAGGAGGUGGUUCCGGGGGAUCAGGUGGUUAAGCGGUGUGGUGGCACCCCUAGAAUUCAGUGGGUAUACCUGAUGUCUCUUGGCCUGACACGCGGCAAGUGGCACCUGUCCAUCAAAGAACAUUCAAGAACAUGCCAGAAUCAUCCUGGACCUGCCAGAGCCACCAGGUAAUAGUAUGACCACACCCUCAUUUCGAUCACAGCUAUAAGUAACCCGCCGUGGGCUUCCGAACCUCGAGAUCGCCUCAUCGGAUGCAGCCGGUCUGAUGAAGUCACGGACGCUGCCCGAGGAAUUCCCGCUGGGAUUUAAAUCUCCGCAUGGUUGUGUGAGUGUUUGGUGCACCUACUGGGCGGUUAUUGUCCAGGCUA